AUCUAGCCCUCUGUUCAACACCAAACAAUACACAAUGGAAUUAGAGCGACUUUAUCUGCAGAUGUGGGAGCAUUAUGCAGCUGGCAACAAACCUGACCACAUGAUUAAGCCUGUUGAAGUCACCGAGUCAGCCUGAAUAAAGACUGCGCACAGGAGAAUUGCCCUAUACCUGAGCCUCAACCUUCUGGGGGAAGGGAACUAGAUAACAUGCUUUGUGUGUAUCUGUGUAGUUCUGUGUUGCAGACGGAUGAUAUAUAAUGAUAAUAGAAUAGCACAUUCAGACUUACUUCCUGCAUGAUAGGGAGAGACAAGAAAGAAGAAAUGCUAUUCCACAAGGAAUCUCUUAGAGUUUUGCAGCAAACAGGUGGUGCACAGGUCUGGAAGGUCUGGUCUCCCUUGGUCUUCCAUGGGAUGCUUAAUGUGGAGGGGAGAUAGAGAUUAACCAGCCGUUUUGUGAUGCCGUGGAUUGAUCAAGUCUUCUGAUCCUUUUUUUUUUCUUUAUAUUUUGGGUUUUGGAGCUUUUAAAAAUGUUUGCUUUCAGGUAUUUUUACUCAUGUGAAGUGAUCUUGAUUCUUCUGAGGUUUUAAACUAAAAUGUUGCUUCCUGUUUUAGUGUCUGAACUCUGACAGGGUGACAGGGACCUUGCUGGUGUAGUCUUUUUAUAGGUUUUAUAAACCACAUGAGCCUAUAUCAGUCAUUUUAGUGUCUGACCUAAUGCUUGGCACUGUCAGUGCUUUGUUUAGAUGAUGACUUAAGACUUUUCAGCCUGUUUUACACACCCCAGCUCCCGUUAAAUUCUCCUGUGACUGCUAACAAACCCAUGUCUGCUUUCAGACAUCCCAGGGUGUUUCUCUCGAACAUGCCAUCUGGUGCCAAAUGAAAAUUCUUAGGAGUGAAUAUUAAUCAUGAAGGUCACAGUUGUGGUACUGUUAUUGAUAAUAAUAUAGGGUUUUUUUCUGCCUAAGUUUUACCUGUUUCACCAGUGUUUCAGCCCUUGACUGCCCCUCCUAUGCUGCUUCCAAAAGUAAUAGUGUGAUAAGAUUUUUACCUUCCUUUCUAAAGUUUGUUUUUUUUUUAAAGUGAGUCCUGUUCUUCCCAUUUCUUUCAGCAGAAAUGAAAUCCCAGGUAAGUAUAUAAGUAUUCAAAUGUUUGGUUAGUAAAUUACAGUUCUCUCCAGUACCUUAAAUGGUGUUCACCGCUCUGAAGAAGCAUCUCUAUACAGGCAGUUAUUUUAUUUUUAGACUGUGUUAGAAUGUCUGGACUUAGCUUCAAACUCUAUGGAUUCGGCCUUGGUAGGGAAUUGUACCACCACUUGGUUUGGACUACAAAUUAAACAUUGGCCCUCGCGGAGCUUGAGUUCUUCAUGGUAGAAAACAGUUGCAUUUCCGUAAAGGGUGGAGGGCUUGAGGCUUAAAUAUAUGAGUAUGUUUAUACUGCUCUACUGCACUUAGACUCUCCACUCACAGAUAAGUCUUGUCUGUUAGUAGUGCUGUAGAUUAAGUCUUUCCAAAGCACCUAGGCAGUGCACCUAUUCUGUAGUUGCAGCUAUUGCCUGAAUGUACCUUAGCUGACAAAUUAUUGAUAAUUAAGAACUUGAAUUUGUGAUUCUUACUGCUAAUUAAAACCUAAGCAAGAAGUCUCAUGUAAUUCUGAUAGCAGAAUUGCAUUGUGUGAACUGUGUAACUUUAGUAAUGUAAAUCAAGGAACAUCAGUUAAGAGAUUUCCUAAUUUAUUUUUUAACUGAAUAAAUAUCAGUUAAAAGAUUGCCAGCAUGGUUACAGGUAAACUGAUUUUCAGAAUUCACUGAACUACUAAAUGUGGGAUUGGAUAAUAGACUUGGAGUGCCGCUGAGGCUGAGAUCUGUGGCCAUUUACAUAGCACAUCAUUCCUCCUAUAGGGAUGAACUUUUUUUCCGACACAAAAAGUAGCCACUGCGGUUAAAGCUUUGCUUAUUGUAACAGGCUUUUAUUUCCAGGUAACCUAUCUGUGGAAGACCUAAUUCUGAAUAGAGUAAUAGAUAUUACUGGAAACUGAUUUGUUUUUUUUUUCCUAUUAUACUCUGCUUUAUUGAAAAAGUAAAGCAUUUAAAAUUGUGCUCCAGAAAUUCAGAUGUUGUCUUGCGAUCUUUAAACAAUAAAAUGGAUGAUUUCCCC
rnacentral:lncRNA from 1 species